rnacentral:rRNA from 1 species
GUGGAACCGGAGAGAGUUGACGUAGUUAGGUAACUAGGUUUGCCAAAGUCGCUUAAUUGUGACGGCGGGAGAUGUAUGUUGCCUAUGGCUGCGCUGACAGCACUGGCUGUGCGUUCCGAACCGUUUGCGUUGCCCACCCAUCACUGGGUGGUGUCUUGCUUUCGGGUAGGUUUGUCGUGGCUA